rnacentral:tmRNA from 1 species
CGCUUCAGUGGCGCCUGCAGGCUGAAGCGGAUGCCGACAUAUACUGAGAGGCUGCGAUGACUGGACGCCGCUAAGGUCAUCUAAGGAUCAGCGGCUAGCCGACACCGUGAACCCGGUCGCCAGGGGUCAGUUCGGCAAAGCGUAAAAUGGUGACUAAGCUUGUAGAUGUCUCUGAACGAGUGUUUCGGACGCGGGUUCGAUUCCCGCCAUCUCCACCA